rnacentral:misc_RNA from 1 species
UGGACUACAGGGGUUUCUAAUCCCGUUUGCUCCCCUGGCUUUCGCGUCUCAGCGUCAGAAUGGGUCCAGAGACUCGCUUUCGCCGCGGGCGUUCCUUCCGAUCUCAACGCAUUUCACCGCUCCACCGGAAGUUCCAGUCUCCCCUACCCACCUCAAGACAACUCGUAUCAGCGCCUGUUCCCCGGUUGAGCCGGGGGAUUUCAACGACUGACGUGGCCAUCCGCCUACACGCGCUUUAAGCCCAGUAAUUCCGAAUAACGUUCGCUUGGUUCGUCUUACCGCGGCUGCUGGCAC